rnacentral:rRNA from 1 species
AGUGAACGCUGGCGGUAGGCCUAACACAUGCAAGUCGAACGGCAGCACAGUAAGAGCUUGCUCUUACGGGUGGCGAGUGGCGGACGGGUGAGGAAUACAUCGGAAUCUACUUUUUCGUGGGGGAUAACGUAGGGAAACUUACGCUAAUACCGCAUACGACCUACGGGUGAAAGCAGGGGAUCUUCGGACCUUGCGCGAUUGAAUGAGCCGAUGUCGGAUUAGCUAGUUGGCGGGGUAAAGGCCCACCAAGGCGACGAUCCGUAGCUGGUCUGAGAGGAUGAUCAGCCACACUGAACCUGAGACACGGUCCAGACUCCUACGGGAGGCAGCAGUGGGGAAUAUUGGACAAUGGGCGCAAGCCUGAUCCAGCCAUACCGCGUGGGUGAAGAAGGCCUUCGGGUUGUAAAGCCCUUUUGUUGGGAAAGAAAAGCAGCAGGUUAAGACCCCGCUGUUCUGACGGUACCCAAAGAAUAAGCACCGGCGAACUUCGU